GGGAAAUCUUACCGGGUCCGGACACACUGAGGAUUGACAGGUAAUAUUAUUUAAAUAUUUUAAAUUUCAAUUUUUUCUCGGAAAUUUUGGAAUGGACUUUAUUUUUAUAUGUAAAUAUGCUAGUCCUUUCAUGAUUAUGUGAUAGGUGGUGCAUGGCCGUUCUUAGUUCGUGGAGUGAUCUGUCUGCUUAAUUGCGUUUCACUAAGAGCUUAUCAAUUUACGUAUGUCUCGCUAGCGUAUUUUGACCCCCAUUUCUUUUUUAACUUUAUAAAGUUUUUUUUGAAUAUUCGUUUCUUUGAAACAAUGUUCUUAAAAUUCUUUUUGUUAUUAAAGAAUUGUGCGCGUGUCAUUUAUGUAUCAAGCAGCAUACAAUUAAGCUCUGAAAGCAACGA
rnacentral:rRNA from 1 species